rnacentral:rRNA from 1 species
AACACGUGGGUAACCUGCCUGUAAGACUGGGAUAACUCCGGGAAACCGGGGCUAAUACCGGAUGGUUGUUUGAACCGCAUGGUUCAGACAUAAAAGGUGGCUUCGGCUACCACUUACAGAUGGACCCGCGGCGCAUUAGCUAGUUGGUGAGGUAACGGCUCACCAAGGCGACGAUGCGUAGCCGACCUGAGAGGGUGAUCGGCCACACUGGGACUGAGACACGGCCCAGACUCCUACGGGAGGCAGCAGUAGGGAAUCUUCCGCAAUGGACGAAAGUCUGACGGAGCAACGCCGCGUGAGUGAUGAAGGUUUUCGGAUCGUAAAGCUCUGUUGUUAGGGAAGAACAAGUGCCGUUCAAAUAGGGCGGCACCUUGACGGUACCUAACCAGAAAGCCACGGCUAACUACGUGCCAGCAGCCGCGGUAAUACGUAGGUGGCAAGCGUUGUCCGGAAUUAUUGGGGCGUAAAGGGCUCGCAGGCGGUUUCUUAAGUCUGAUGUGAAAGCCCCCGGCUCAACCGGGGAGGGUCAUUGGAAACUGGGGAACUUGAGUGCAGAAGAGGAGAGUGGAAUUCCACGUGUAGCGGUGAAAUGCGUAGAGAUGUGGAGGAACACCAGUGGCGAAGGCGACUCUCUGGUCUGUAACUGACGCUGAGGAGCGAAAGCGUGGGGAGCGAACAGGAUUAGAUACCCUGGUAGUCCACGCCGUAAACGAUGAGUGCUAAGUGUUAGGGGGUUUCCGCCCCUUAGUGCUGCAGCUAACGCAUUAAGCACUCCGCCUGGGGAGUACGGUCGCAAGACUGAAACUCAAAGGAAUUGACGGGGGCCCGCACAAGCGGUGGAGCAUGUGGUUUAAUUCGAAGCAACGCGAAGAACCUUACCAGGUCUUGACAUCCUCUGACAAUCCUAGAGAUAGGACGUCCCCUUCGGGGGCAGAGUGACAGGUGGUGCAUGGUUGUCGUCAGCUCGUGUCGUGAGAUGUUGGGUUAAGUCCCGCAACGAGCGCAACCCUUGAUCUUAGUUGCCAGCAUUCAGUUGGGCACUCUAAGGUGACUGCCGGUGACAAACCGGAGGAAGGUGGGGAUGACGUCAAAUCAUCAUGCCCCUUAUGACCUGGGCUACACACGUGCUACAAUGGACAGAACAAAGGGCAGCGAAACCGCGAGGUUAAGCCAAU